GGAAUUUCUAGAAGCAGGCCUGGACAAAAGUCUCAGCCUGUGCACCAUGAAGGUGCAGUCCUCAGCUCUACCUGCCCUAUGUAAUACCUCAUGGCCAUCUCACCCUCUCAUCUCAAGGUUCUUUAAGGCAGCCUUACACUUACGCCCUUCAGCCAGAAACUCAGCUCCUCCAUGGGAUUUGCCAUUAGUCCUGAAUGCUUUAACGGAAGUUCCCUAUGCACCUCUAAAGGAUAUCUCUGUUCAACCUCACUUAUAAAACUGUAUUCACCACGGCCGAGAGUAUUUCGG